GCCACUUUGCAACUGCCACUCUGCAACGGCUUCCCACACCACCAUGAUGUGGUGAAGCCAAGGGGGUCUUUGCAAGACCCUGAACAGUGUUGUUGAGAUGAUUAGACUCCAGAGCUAUGAGGUUUAAUCAGCCUCUUUGCUUUGUAAGGGAGAAAUACUAUGGAAGGAAUUUGAGGUCGGCUUCUUUGGGCAGAUGAAAUUCUUCCCGGUGUAGUCUCCUCCCCUCUUCAUUUACAACAGAAGUUAACAUCUGUGUUCCCUACUUUCCUUAGUUCUCAGACAUUUUGUCAUCUGUUACCACAACUAUUUAGUGACUCAACAAGAAUUUCCCUAAAUCACUGUGAGAUCUCAUUUGGAUUUUUAAUAAACAGUCACAUUCUAAUG